ensembl:lncRNA
AUAUAUAUAUAUAUAUAUAUAUAUAUAUAUAUAUAUAUAUAUAUUUAUUUAUUUUUUUGCCUAUAUUUUCUUUUCCUUAUUUCUUUUACUAUUUGCUAACUUUUAGGGGUUUAAAAAAAAUUUUUUUUUAAUGUAAUUCACCAUCAAUCAAGAUGAAAUAAAUCGCUCUUGAGUUUUUGUUUUUUAAUUUAACUCUGUAUUCCUCAAUGUUUUUACUUCAUCUCGUUAUUUUGCUCGUUCCUGAAAACAAACAGUACGACGUCACAUUCAGUGAAUUUAUACAUGACCAUUUAAAGUAAAUUACAACUAUGGGGAGGGCACAAAAUAUUAACAACUCAAACUAAAUAAAAAUUCAAUAAUAUACUAAUCUUAGCCUUUCAGCCCUGAAAAUGGUUUAUUUUCCUAUAACGGCAUGUUUCUAAGUAUUUUAUUCCUCUUACACCUCAACAAUUUGCCAGCAAGUACAAUUUUUAUUUAUAUAUUUAAAGGACAUUAUACUUUUUAUCCGUUUAUAGUUACGUUUGUGAUGUUGGUGAAAUUAGUUAGUUCCUGUUGUCACUUGCGUUAUAGCAGCUAUAAACAGUUGUUCCAUUACCACUCUCUCUCUCUCUCUCUCUCUCUCUCUCUCUCUCUGUGUAUGUGUAUGUGUGUUGGCAUAUUAGAGAAACCGUAAAGAAGUGUAAACUCCUCUGUCCUGGAAACUUGGUUACAGCUUUACCUCUGACUGUUACAAAGGGCUGACACUGUAGACUUCUUCUCAACACGUUACAUAAACAUCUCCUUACAGACCAAAGCUGACGUGGGGUUUUUUAAAUUAUUAUUAUUAUUAUUUUUUUUUAAGUUAAUCUGGCGCGUCCACUAUACAUGAGCGGUUACUAUAAAAACAAAACGUACCAGAACGAGCACGUUAAUAUAAACCCGUGAUUUGCAGCUGCACUCCUGUCAGAGCUGCAUCUAUAAAAGUUUCGACCGCAAGCACGGUCAAAUUCUCGAUUCUGGAUUUUCAGGAGGUGUUGAUUCAUUUCUCGGGAACAUGACAAGCUGCAUCUCUUAUUAUUGUUAUUUUUAUUAACUUGGAGAGAGAAUAUAGAGAGGGGUGGUGAGGGAACGACUAUUUAUAGCUGCUAUAACAUAAGCGAGAACAGGAACUCACUUGUUCUGCUGACGUUCCAUGAUAUUAAAUGUAAGUGUAAAUGGAUAAAAAGUAGCUCAUGGCAAAAUGCUGUAGUCAGGCCAUGUCAUACCACCUCAUCGCUGGUUAUUUUCAAAACGGCACCCCUGCCCCGUUUACUGUAGUAUUUCUAAAAUAAAAUGCAAGUGAUUCAAGGAGGCCUUAGGUGCGUUUCGAUUUUAAAAAAAUUGUAGAACAAACUAUCUGAACUAUUUUCUAGGUUAAGCAACGACAGCAUGUCAGACCACGCCCACAUCUCGUUCGUUUGAAUAUCGUUUUCAGAAUGACCUUGAAAUGCGUAAUAAUACCACAGCCUAAACAGCACGUUGCUCUGCAGUGGUAUUGUAGUACUCAGAGUGGACUAGUCACUUGGGGUCGAGUAACUUGAUGCCGAGACGUCGUAGCUCGUUUCUCGAACCAGCGCUUUUGAGGACCUUUAGCUACACGGAUGUUUGCCAGCUGGAGGCAGAAUGUGGCGAUCAGAUCUAUCCAAUGAGGUGCCAACUGAAGGAGCCAGCCAAUCAGAAAAAGCCUAGCCAAUCAGAAGAGACGGAGGAAAAUCUGUCCUCUGGAAGAGAAGCUAUAGCUGAAGGGAGUCUCCAGCUCAGAGAGAGACGGAGUGAGACAAGCGACAGUCUUAUUGAGGAAAAGCUUAUUUCUCAUGUAAGACUAGCGAGAGUGAGGUAUUAAACAUGCAGGACUGGUAGGUAAGAGGCACAUGUGUUCUUUUCAUCUGUAUUUUUAAUGCAUUUAUUGUUUAAAAAGAAGUGUUUUUUGUUGUUUUUGUCCGAAACCAAAGGUUUAUCAGCAGAUUUAAUGUCUGGUGAAAUGUUUCUGUAAUUCACUGGUGGUGCAUGAGACACCAAAGACUUAAACACUACAACUUCUCAUCUUAAACUGUGUUUUGUCUUGGUUUUAGUUUUUGUUUUUUGUUUUUUUUCUCUCUGAUUUGUUUAUAAUUUUUUCCCCCCCUGAGUCGUGCGUUUCUUGUGUAACAGAUGACUGAACCAGAGGAUGGAUUUCUUUCUUCCGUGUGCAGCUUUUCCAGCGCAGAGAGCUGAUGAAUGUUUCCCUGAGAAGUAAUUCUGAGAGAUCCCAGGUUCUGAGAGUCGGGAUCGUUGGUCAGGAAUUCCGGCAUAAGCACGAUCACUCACAGAAGGAUCUCCUAAAACAUUUCAGUAGGAGUUACAAGGUGUUUCAGGAUGAGGAGCAAAAUGGCGGCUGCUGCUGCUGCUGCAUGAAGUUUUAAAUUUUUUUAAAUGGUUUUUUAUGUCAAUUUUUACAAUAAAAUUUUAAAGAAAGUGACUUUUUGUUCUCUCUUUUCUAUAUUACUACCAACAUAUUUUUAUGAGGUACCGAACCAGAUUAUACUGUAGAGCUCUAUUAUUCUGGUGCAUCGUCCAAGUACCGAGUAAUAUCUGAUAACCAGAUAAUAUUAAAAUAACCUUUUUUUCUCUCUUUUUUUUUUUUUAACACUCUGGUUGUUUCAUUUAUUACAUGAAGGAGAUAUCGAGGUUUUUGUGUCACACUGGGCCUCUCUGGUCCGAUUUUCAUUUUAUAACCUGAUUAUCUCAGGCAGAAUGGAUGUCUAUAAAUGUUAGAAAUCCGGAUUAAAUCUUAAACAUGGUGAGAAAUGUUUCUUCCUCCUCCGUUCUUAACUUCUUUUAUUUGUCUGAUGCUUCUGAAGACUUACACUCUGCAUGAAACAGAAGAUCGCGUGGUUUUAUCUGAAAUCCAUCAGACUCGAUCCUGACUGCUGUGAUGAAGGAGGAUGGUUGAGCUUGUCGGAUUUCGAGUUAACAUUGCUUUACACGGAUUACAGCAGGAGAUGUGUGCGAGUGAAAUGGCAUGGGUUUUACGUGUAAUGCAGGAUUGAUGGGAGGUUGAGUGUUAUUUUUGUUUUAAGUGACAUUUAUAAUGUUUCUGUAUGCAAACUGAAAUGAUGAAUGAAUCUCUCACACAACUGUAAGAGAUAAAGAGGAAAUAAAAAGGCACAGGAAGUUCACUAAAAUGCAAGGUGUAGUUUAAAAAAAAAAAAAAAAAAACUUCCAUCGUCCCUUAUCACCUCCUAAUUCCCCAUGAAGCUACUUUAAAAUGAGUUCUAUCUUUAUAGAUGACUGAAGUAAUAAAGUUAAUAGGUUCAGUGAUGUAAACUCGUUUUGUACGAAGGUCUGAGACAACCAGCUGAACAUGUCCAAUGUUUUGCAUCUCUCCAUACGUGGAUGCUUCAUUCGAGGGUGUAGAGAGGAAACUGGAACAAGCAGCUUCAUGACUGCAUCCACCUGGUCAUCUUGUUCUCAAGUCAAAUGAUGUAUUUAUGCACAUUUUAGUUAUUUAGCAGAUACUCUUCUCCAGGGCAAUUUGCAGAACAGUUUGAAGGCACAGCGAUGCAAAGCACUUUCUAUAAUCUGCUUAUAAAAGCCUAAACAAAACUAUGUUUUGUACAAGUUCUACAGUGGGCUAAGUCCUGAAAAAAAUCCAAUCUUAAAAAACAAAAAGCUGUCAAGGCAGAGAAUAAAGACGCUUUCACACCAAACACGAAACGAUUGAUCACCUUCAGCUAAUUCACAUUUGCCCCAUAGGUGGUGCUGACCGAGAAUGUAUUUUACGCCUACACACUAGGUGGUGCAACCCACUGUUCAGCUGAUUGGCCUAUUGCCUUUCACCACUGAGAAGAAGAAUCACUUAAAUGUUGGUGCAGAGCAUCACAACACAAACUGUUCAGAAG